UGGCCAGUCGCUAGGGACAGAUGCACGUCCUGUACCUCGGAUUGAAGCGUCGCGAGCUGCUGCUAUCGCUAGUUUGAACAAAAUGGCUGCAGAGGCACCACUAACGAAAGCCCGCUGAACGGUAGGAAUUAUCAUCGACGAUGUUUUAAUGGAUAUCUUGGAAAUACCCCCUCUCCAAAUAUUGGAUUUUGCAAGAAUUUGCUCUCUUGGAUUCCUCUAUUUGCGAACAUUUCACAGUCGCGUGCUGUAAAACAUAUAUUUUUUUGCACUUUAAAAAUGUCAGCUUAUCAAAGACAAGCCGAGAGAAGAAGCAGGGAACACGAGACCAGAACCAUUUGAUGGAAGAAAAGAAAAAGAGAAAGCAAGAAGAAAAGAAAAAGAAGGAAGCUGCUCAGAAAAAGGUCACUGAACAGAAAACCAAAGCCACCAGCUGCAGCUACUCCCCAGCACAUUCCACCAAUGUUUUAUGAUGGGGAAAUGGUGUGUGUGAAAGAAAAGUCUCCUGUCCUGCUAACCUGAACCAGCUCCAGUCCCUGUGCCUUCAUCCUGUCUGUCUGGCCUCCAUCUUGGGUGCACACAAACAUUCAAAGCCUUAAAGCUGCAAUAUGUAACGUUUUGGGCAACCUGACCAAAUCUACAUAGACGUGUGUUAUAGAUCAGUCAUUCUCAUUUAAAUCAAGUCUAAGAAGCGGUAUACUGUAUCUGGUCUAUGUGUGCUAUUUCUAUGGUUCCCGUUCUUAAGUGUCGUUUUUGCAUAUUUUACUUUCGGUUUUGUACACCAGCUGUAAAAACAAUAUUUUGGGUUAUGGAAAAUAUAUUUCAUAGCGGUUGAAAUGGUACAAUGAUUCUCUACAUUAUACUUGCUUGUUUUGUCACAAACUGAAAUUAGGCAAACUAUUAGACUUUUAGAAACCAGGAAAUGGUGGGGUGAUAUCUGCAUAGUGCAUCUUUAAAAUGUUUUAAAUUGUUGAAUAAAAGUAUAGUGCCAUUUCAAUA